rnacentral:rRNA from 1 species
GAUGAACGCUGGCGGCGUGCCUAAUACAUGCAAGUCGAGCGAACAGACGUGGAGCUUGCUCCUUUGACGUUAGCGGCGGACGGGUGAGUAACAUGUGGGUAACCUACCUAUAAGACUGGGAUAACUUCGGGAAACCGGAGCUAAUACCGGAUAAUAUUUCGAACCGCAUGGUUCGAUAGUGAAAGAUGGCUCUGCUAUCACUUAUAGAUGGACCUGCGCCGUAUUAGCUAGUUGGUAAGGUAACGGCUUACCAAGGCAACGAUACGUAGCCGACCUGAGAGGGUGAUCGGCCACACUGGAACUGAGACACGGUCCAGACUCCUACGGGAGGCAGCAGUAGGGAAUCUUCCGCAAUGGGCGAAAGCCUGACGGAGCAACGCCGCGUGAGUGAUGAAGGUCUUCGGAUCGUAAAACUCUGUUAUUAGGGAAGAACAAACGUGUAAGUAACUGUGCACGUCUUGACGGUACCUAAUCAGAAAGCCACGGCUAACUACGUG